CAGUGGUGUGAGUGGUCCUUUGACCUAUGGUGCCAUUGGCUAUUCGCAGCGAGGCUACUGGAUUUGACUGCACAUUUUCUUGGUCCCUAGCUAUUCGUAUCCUUGCUGUGUAUGUUGGAUUCAGUAGAUUCAGGUUCACUAUUUGGAGUAGGAUGCACAUAAAUGGAAUCUAUCAAUCUUAGUAGAAAAGGAGGAGUUCUAUGUGAUUUAUUAGACUG
rnacentral:lncRNA from 1 species